GGGAAUUUUCCGCAAUGGGCGAAAGCCUGACGGAGCAACGCCGCGUGAGGGAUGAAGGCCUCUGGGCUGUAAACCUCUUUUCUCAAGGAAGAAGACCUGACGGUACUUGAGGAAUAAGCCACGGCUAAUUCCGUGCCAGCAGCCGCGGUAAUACGGGAGUGGCAAGCGUUAUCCGGAAUUAUUGGGCGUAAAGCGUCCGCAGGCGGCCUUGUAAGUCUGUCGUUAAAGCGUGGAGCUUAACUCCAUUUAAGCGAUGGAAACUACAAGGCUUGAGUGUGGUAGGGGCAGAGGGAAUUCCCGGUGUAGCGGUGAAAUGCGUAGAUAUCGGGAAGAACACCAGUGGCGAAGGCGCUCUGCUGGGCCAUAACUGACGCUCAUGGACGAAAGCCAGGGGAGCGAAAGGGAUUAGAUACCCCUGUAGUC
rnacentral:rRNA from 1 species